UCAAACUUGGUCAUUUAGAGGAAGUAAAAGUCGUAACAAGGUUUCCGUAGGUGAACCUGCGGAAGGAUCAUUACAGUGCUCGUCGGGACGCCACACCGUACCUACGGUGUUGGCGCUCUCGCACCUGCCACCCGUGUCUACCUUUCCAUUGUUGCCUCGGCGGGCCCGCCGCGCACGCCAGUGCGUGGCCGCCGGGGGGUACGCCCCCUGGUCCGCGCCCGCCAGAGGACCAUUCUGAACCCUAUGUGAAUAUAGUGAUGUCUGAGUCUUAGUGAAUACAGUUAAAACUUUCAACAACGGAUCUCUUGGUUCUGGCAUCGAUGAAGAACGCAGC
rnacentral:misc_RNA from 1 species